UCCCUUAUCUUCCCAAACCUCUCACCUUCAUCCAACCUGUGCCAAGUUCAUGCCAGCCUGCAUAGGACAAGAGAUCAUGCCUGCCUGGGCUGCAUUGUCUGCAGGACAGCAAAUGCUCUAGGACAAUCACUCAAACAUCUCCGUGCUGUAACUGACAUGGAUCCUCGAUGUCCUAGGCUCUCUUGGGGUCUUCCGCAAGAGUUGGGAUGUGCUCAAGGAGGGACAGGCGCUGCAGAGGGAAGCUGGCUUACAGUCAGCCAGUCUAUCUCCCUGCACAGCUACAGCUACUUCAGGUGCCACAAAUACAAGACCAAAUCUGAAGCUCUUUGGAGAUUCUGGGAAUUACCUUCCUCCAUUUCUAAGAAUGGUACUUGGGGCAGGAAAGAAACCUAGAAAACUGCCUUCCUGAAGUAAAUACAGCAGACACAAGGCUCUGCAUGGAGAUCAGAGCUUGCACACAUUCAAGCAGUGGCUUGAAUGUCAGGAUGUCCUGACAGGGUGCCUUCCUUGAUGGAACUUCCUUGGCACAAGGAAGCCACACCUUGGUGGCUUUGGAAUCCACCAUGACUAUGACAUCACAACCAGUAGGACCUACACGUCUACUCUCUGCUGUCAAAAGCUUGAGAUGACUGUGGUUUGGUGAGCUGCGAGUAUGAAGCCUAUUUGCUGCUUCCUGAAGAUCUCAGCCACUGGAGGGGGACAGAGCACCUUGCUGCACAGGGAAAGCCCUCACAGCUCUGACGUAGAAGAGUGAUGCCCAGCCUUGGUCUGUUCCUGCCCUUUUUCCAGUUCCAGCCUGGGUGUUGGAGGCUGCAGUCCCAUGUGAUGUCACACUGGAAACACUGUGUCCUCUGAGCACCACCUCACAAAGCCGCCUGCUGCUGACCCAUUACUCCCAUUCCUGAUGAAGUGAAAGGAUGCAGGGAUGAAGUCACUCUUACUCAGCCUUGUGAUCUCAGUUAAACAAGCAUUCAGAACUCGGAGCCGUACUGGUGCUGAACUGGAUUGCAUAAUUCAGGCUUCAGGAGCUGCUGUGUGGGUGUGUGUGUACUCUCUGCGCAGGAAGGAGCACAGAGAGUUCCUUGUAGUAGCCUUUGUUUCAAGGCUCUGGAGAACAUCUUAAAAGCCUGUCCCUCUCUUAUGUCAGCUGUAACUUCCUUUGCACUGGAACACACGCAGUGAGUGGGAGAGGUAAUGACAGAGGAAGGAGAAAGUACUCACAAUAUAAACAUACAUUCACCUUGCACAGAUAGCAGAAGAGAGCCCAGCAAAUGGCCCUUCCAGGAAAGGAAUCUCCUUCCAACCUGGUGUGUCUGCGAGGGGACGACCGAGAACACUGUUUUCUGCAGGGCCAUCUGAUGCUGUCUGCGAUGCUGCACGUGUUUACUGCAGCAUGGUGUGGCUCUGGGAAUUGCAGCACAAAAAUGUCCAAUGUGUUUGGCUUAUUUCUCAGAACGCUGUGACUUGGAAAACUCAGGCUGGCCUAUCUUUUCUUCCAAACAUCCAAGCAAUUUGCUUGGUAAUGUCAUUCUGCAGAUAGUUUUGAUUUCUGACUUUUCCAAUUAAUUCUGGGAGAAAGCAGAGGUCCUGGAAUUCCCCACAAAGCAGAAUUUCUGUUUUUCCACCGGCUUGACGCAGCAAGAAUUUCUGCCACAGGAAUUUGGCCAUAAGUACUGAUACCAGCCAGGCAGUUUGAAUCUCUCUAGAUGGUGAAAGCAAGAGAGAAGUAUCUCAUAAAUCAUCAUGUCAUUGCUAUUUCGUACUCAAGAGGGGAGAAGAUCAUCUCACCUUCCUUUCUGUUCUCUCAUGUGUGUUUCCAGGUGAAGCAGAUGGGUGUUCAAGAUCUGCAGAGGAUGUGAAUGGCCAGAGCUGUUGGAGCUGUGCUCUGUGAAUUGCUCCUUGCACACAGCUUCCCCUUUUGUUUCUCUUUAUGAAUGAGCUCAGUUUUUACAACACAGAUUUUUGGUUGUAGUUACAGAUAGAACUCAGCUUUUUUAUUAUAUGUGAAUAACUGGCCUUCAGAAAUCAUAUUUUUUCAGGUCUGAUUUGUGUUUCUGAAUUCAAGUAUGGUGUGGAGAGAGUGGGGAUAAGAGGCAGAGAAAUGCUCCAGUGCCAGUGCAGCAGAUGUGGCAGAAUGGCUGACACGAAAGGCCUUGUCCUGAGCUACCACUGAGAACAGCUGGGCACGGUCUGGUCUGUCCUCACAUGGAUGGGACGAAAGGAACACCCUGGAGGUGUUCAGGAGCCGUGUGGAUGUGGCACUGAGGAGCAUGGAUUAGUGGGCAUGGUGGGGGUGGGCUGGUGAUUGGUUAAGAUGAUAUUAGAUGUCUUUUCCUACCAUAAUUAAUGACUCUAUGAUUCUA